UACGUAGGGGCCUAGCGUUGUCCGGAUUUAUUGGGCGUAAAGAGCUCGUAGGCGGUUCGGUAAGUCAGGUGUGAAAUCUCCACGCUCAACGUGGAGGCGCCACCUGAAACUGCCGUGACUCGAGUCCGGUAGGGGAGUGUGGAAUUCCCGGUGUAGCGGUGAAAUGUGUUGAUAUCAUCAGGAACUCCGGUGGCGAAAGCGGCAUGCUGGACCUUCACUGACGCUGAUGCGCGAAAGCUAGGGGAGCGAACGGG
rnacentral:rRNA from 1 species